rnacentral:rRNA from 1 species
GACGAACGCUGGCGGCGUGCCUAAUACAUGCAAGUUGAGCGCUGAAGGUUGGUACUUGUACCAACUGGAUGAGCAGCGAACGGGUGAGUAACGCGUGGGGAAUCUGCCUUUGAGCGGGGGACAACAUUUGGAAACGAAUGCUAAUACCGCAUAAAAACUUUAAACACAAGUUUUAAGUUUGAAAGAUGCAAUUGCAUCACUCAAAGAUGAUCCCGCGUUGUAUUAGCUAGUUGGUGAGGUAAAGGCUCACCAAGGCGAUGAUACAUAGCCGACCUGAGAGGGUGAUCGGCCACAUUGGGACUGAGACACGGCCCAAACUCCUACGGGAGGCAGCAGUAGGGAAUCGUCGGCAAUGGACGAAAGUCUGACCGAGCAACGCCGCGUGAGUGAAGAAGGUUUUCGGAUCGUAAAACUCUGUUGGUAGAGAAGAACGUUGGUGAGAGUGGAAAGCUCAUCAAGUGACGGUAACUACUCAGAAAGGGACGGCUAACUACGUG